UCCCCGGGUGGGCGCGCGACGCCGGGCGCGGCGAGGCGCAGGGCCGCCGAGAAGGGAGGCGUGUGAGCGCUCGAGUGGACCGGGGGAUGCGAGAGUGCGCGCACCGAGCGCGGGGCUGCACUGAGGGUCAGGCAGGAAAAAGGACGAGCGGGAAGUUAAUGCAUGUUAACACAAGAUUAAUUCUGACGUAAACCAAAACUUGUAAGACAGCCUCAAUAUAGCCUCCGCCAUCGCUCCGCUAACGCUUCGUUUUAAUUAAAACUGGGUUGAGAAACAAUUGGAUUGAAAUUAAGAAACAAUGUUCGUUGAAAAUACCAACUCUCUCAAAAACAUUAAAUUCCAUGUUCUGUGUAAUGUCUGUAAAGUACCUCGUGUUGCCACAGAUCAGUGGGCCUUUCUGUGAUUGAUGAGAAUCAAUCUGAUUUUCGAGUUAACACUUUUUAGUGUUUACGUAUUAGAAAGGGUUUUUGAGUGGUUCAUGAAUGUACUUCGAACUCCUAGCACAGUACUUGUUCAUAGUACUCAAGAAAUACUUGUUGAAUAAACGAAUCCCUCCAUAGCUGAAUAAAAGAAUUUACCUCUCUAAUUUUCCCUAUUUCAAACUACAUAUCUCUCUGUAAGUUCCUUUUGUUUUUUCCUUCUUCUUCCUUUCUUACCAGAGUCUCCAGCCUGUAAAUAUUCUUUAAUCUAUACUACCAUUGUUAGUAUCUAGUCUCUACCUCGUGGAAUAAUUUUGCAGAAAUCUCACCCAUCCUUUAAGACUCAACUGGCUUUUUCUUUUUUUAAUGAAAGUACUGGGGAUAGGACCUCACGCAUGCUGUGCGUGCUAAGCACAUGCUUUAUCACUGAGCUGUACCCCCAAGCUGCCUUCUUUAUGAAGACAUCUCUGAUCUUCCACAUGGACAUGAUCACCCUUCCUCCAAAUUCUAAUAAUAUCUUACUCGUAUCCCUUCAUAGUAUUUACUACUUUUUGUUUUAUACAAAGGAUACCAUAUCUCCAUACAAGAAAAUUCAUAAACUCCAUCGAGGGCAGAGACUUCUAAUUGACUGUUUUAUCCUUCAUAAGGUAUAGGAAUAGCAUCUUAUACACUGUACAUGAUGGACAAAUAUUUUUAAACUAAUGUCAACUUUAAUUUGAAGGAAACAAAUGGCUUUAAUUUCCAGUCUAUUGCUUAACUCUCCACUAGACCAUACUCUAUUAGUGUUGUUUUAAAAUUCUUUCAGUGAUGAGUAAGAACAUAGUUUGUUAAAUAAUCUUAAUUCUCAUCUAGGAAGAUACAAUGAAAUGUUACACCAUAAUUUGCAUACAUUACUAUUUAUAGUUCUACACUUUUUAUUCCAUGGAACCAAGGCUAUUUAAUGACUAGUCAAGACGUAAAAUUAUGCCCCAGUGAAAUAUUCCCACAGGAAAUGACUGAUGGUAGAGCUGCCAAUGGUGUCUAUAAACACAGCUUGAUCUCUAUCUCAGAAAUUGUUUCUAUUCCAACUCUCCGUUGCAAAAUCUUUUUAUUCUUUACCAUAGUUGUUAAGAAUACCAUAAGUUGCAUAUCUAUGUUAAAAUGAAUAGAAAAAUAGAACCUGGUCUUGACUGAACUUCGGCGUCUCAAUUCAACUUGCCAACUUCUUGAGUUCAGGAAUUAUGAAACACAUUGGCCAAUAUAAAAUAUUAUCCAUUGUUCUAAGCAUUGCUCGGAAGUAAGUUGGACGCUGCACAGCACACCUGAAUGUAAUGCUUUAAAGUUGAGACUGUUCUAUCACAUAAAUUCACAAUUUUUAAGAUGUAUUUUGAGUCACAACAGGAAUUAAAGCAGUCAUAUAGCUAUGUGAUGCUACUUAGUGACUUUAGAGAUGCAAAUCCCACUUUUCUGUAUGUGUAUAAGACUUCAAUAAAAAGUUUAUAAAACUGUAA